rnacentral:lncRNA from 1 species
CCACAUAGGCUCUGGCCUGAAGUAUGAGUUUUAGGAGUUUGAUAUUCAAAUUUUAGAGGAACAUGAUACAGUCCAUAAUGGGAAGUAAUUGUAGGCUAAGUUCUCCAGUGUCGGCAGGCCUCCGUGGUGGACAUGGAGUUUUUAAGCUCCUUUGAUUUGUAGAAUCUAUUUCUUCUAGGACUGGCAAAGCAACACCAUGGUUAGGAGAAAAUGCCCCCUAGGCCCUGGCAUUGGAACCCUUGAUUCCCAGUCAGUCGUGCUGUUUGGAGAGGUUUAGGCGCUGCAGCCUACCUAGCUAGAAAGAGGAGCACAACUGGGGACUUUGAGAGUAAAGCCUACCUACCUUCGUGCUGAUGCUGAGAGUGCCAGCCAUCUCUGCUUUUCCCACCAUGCCUGCUUCCUACUGCCAUGCCCUCCUGUCACGAUGCACUCCUGUCCAUCUUGAACAACAGGCUCAGAUAAACUCUUCUAUAAGUUGUCUUGGCCAUGGUGUUUUAUCACAGCAGCAGAAAAGAAACUAAUGCACCAUUUAGACUAAGGAAAAGAUACUUAACAGGGGACCUGGCAAGUUGACUCAGUGGGUGAAAAUGCCUGCCACCCAAGCCUGGUGACCCGAGUUACAUACCUGGAACCCACGUAAGGUGGAAAGAGAACAGACCAACUACACAAAGUUGCCCUCUGACCUCCAGAUACGUGCUAUGGCAUGUGCCCCACUUCAUUCACCAUGCACACACAUGAUGAUGAUGAUGGUGAGUAGUGACAAUAGCAGCAAUAAUAAAAUAAACUUAAUAGAAAGAAUAAAUAAUAAGGGCUCUUCUGGUACCUUUGAGCCCAUGGAGGCCAGCUGUGGACAGAACUUGUUUAAGUCACAAGUGUCUAGAGAGUUGUGGGGCAAUGGCAUUUUUGUUGGUUAUGAGCAGGCCUCCUCCAGAACUAAAAAGACUACUGCUUAAACUGAAAGUGUUUCUACCUGAGAUGAAACCAAGCUUUGCACAGGCAAGUGAUGUGCUCAUGUGUACAAAGCAAAAAGCAACAUAGCGUCCCCUAGCGGCAAACCAAACAGAAGCAGAGUAAUUUGGGGUAAAAGAGGCGACUGGGGCCAAUGGAAAGAGUGUCAAGCCUU